AGAGUUUGAUCCUGGCUCAGGAUGAACGCUGGCGGCGUGCCUAACACAUGCAAGUCGAACGGAGUUCUUAAGGAAUGCGACUUCGGUCAAAUGACUUUUGAACUUAGUGGCGGACGGGUGAGUAACGCGUGAGCAACCUGCCUUUCAGAGGGGGAUAACAUUUGGAAACAGAUGCUAAUACCGCAUAAGAUUACAGUACCGCAUGAUACAGUGAUCAAAGGAGCAAUCCGCUGAAAGAUGGGCUCGCGUCCGAUUAGAUAGUUGGUGAGGUAACGGCCCACCAAGUCGACGAUCGGUAGCCGGACUGAGAGGUUGAACGGCCACAUUGGGACUGAGACACGGCCCAGACUCCUACGGGAGGCAGCAGUGGGGAAUAUUGCACAAUGGGCGAAAGCCUGAUGCAGCAACGCCGCGUGAGGGAAGACGGUUUUCGGAUUGUAAACCUCUGUUUUCGGUGACGAACAAAUGACGGUAACCGAGUAGGAAGCCACGGCUAACUACGUGCCAGCAGCCGCGGUAAUACGUAGGUGGCAAGCGUUAUCCGGAAUUACUGGGUGUAAAGGGAGCACAGGCGGGAUAGCAAGUCAGCUGUGAAAACUAUGGGCUCAACCCAUAAACUGCAGUUGAAACUGUUAUUCUUGAGUGGAGUAGAGGCAAGCGGAAUUCCGAGUGUAGCGGUGAAAUGCGUAGAUAUUCGGAGGAACACCAGUGGCGAAGGCGGCUUGCUGGGCUCUAACUGACGCUGAGGCUCGAAAGUGUGGGGAGCAAACAGGAUUAGAUACCCUGGUAGUCCACACUGUAAACGAUGAUUGCUAGGUGUGGGGGGUCUGACCCCCUCCGUGCCGGAGUUAACGCAAUAAGCGAUCCACCUGGGGAGUACGGC
rnacentral:rRNA from 1 species